rnacentral:rRNA from 1 species
ACCUGGUUGAUCCUGCCAGUAGUCAUACGCUUGUCUCAAAGAUUAAGCCAUGCAUGUCUAAGUUUAAGUGCAUUGAACAGCGAAACUGCGGACGGCUCAUUAAAUCAGAAAUAAUGGACACGAUUGUUAAACUUACAUGGAUAACUGUAGUAAUUCUAGAGCUAAUACAUGCCUUAAAGGCCUUUCGGGGUCUGAGUAGCACUCUUGUAAACCUUCAGAGGCAACUCUUCUAGGUGAAACUGGUGCUCUAUCUGAUCGCACAGCAUUAGCUGGCGACAAUUCGUCCUAACUUCUGCCCUAUCAAGUAUCGAUGGUGGUAUAGUUGACCACCAUGCUAUUAACGGGUAACGGGGAACAAGGGUUCGGUUCCGGAGAGGGAGCCUGAGAAAUGGCUACCACUUCCAAGGAAGGCAGCAGGCGCGCAAAUUACCCAAUGAUAAUACGUCGAGGUAGUGACAAGAAAUACCAAUCCUGACCACUUACCGUGGUUGGGAAUUGGAAUGAGGAAAAUUUAAAUCCCAUACCCAGGAACAAUUGGAGGACAAGUCUGGUGCCAGCACCCGCGGUAAUUCCAGCUCCAAUAGCGUAUAUUAAAGUUGUUGCAGUUAAAAAGCUCGUAGUCGAACUUAUGAGUUUCGUUUGCGUGGUCUGCCGGGAAGGUGUGAACUAGUGAACGUGCUCAUAUUUCGAGCUGCUAAUGCUGUCCUUAACUGGAUGUCAGGAUGCAGGCUCGAACGUUUACUUUGAAAUAAUUAGAGUGUUUAAAGCAGGCAAGCUUUGCCUUGAAUAGAUUAGCAUGGGAUAAUGGAAUAGGGUUUAGCUCUGUUUCGUUGGUUUAGCAGGGCUGGACAAUGAUUAAUAGAGAUAGUUGGGGGUAUUCAUAUUUAGUGGUCAGAGGUGAAAUUCUUAGAUUCACGAAAGAUGAACUACUGCGAAAGCAUUUACCAAGGAUGUCUUCAUUGAUCAAGAACGAAAGUUUGGGGAUCGAAGACGAUCAGAUACCGUCGUAGUCCAAACAGUAAACUAUGCCGACCAGAGAUAAGGAGACGUUACAUAUCGACUCUCCCUGCAACUUGAGAGAAAUCAUAAGUCUUUGGGUUCUGGGGGGAGUAUGGUCGCAAGGCUGAAACUUAAAGGAAUUGACGGAAGGGCACACCAGGAGUGGAGCCUGCGG